rnacentral:rRNA from 1 species
GACGAACGCUGGCGGCGUGCUUAACACAUGCAAGUCGAGCGGUAAGGCCCUUUCGGGGGUACACGAGCGGCGAACGGGUGAGUAACACGUGGGUGACCUGCCCUUAGCUCUGGGAUAAGCCUGGGAAACUGGGUCUAAUACCGGAUAUGACUCCAUGACGCAUGUUGUGGGGUGGAAAGCCUUGUGCGGCUAGGGAUGGGCCCACGGCCUAUCAGCUUGUUGGUGGGGUGAUGGCCUACCAAGGCGACGACGGGUAGCCGGCCUGAGAGGGCGACCGGCCACACUGGGACUGAGACACGGCCCAGACUCCUACGGGAGGCAGCAGUGGGGAAUCUUGCGCAAUGGGCGAAAGCCUGACGCAGCGACGCCGCGUGGGGAUGACGGCCU